rnacentral:tRNA from 1 species
GGGCGCGUAGCGAAGCGGGAAAGUCGCGCGCUAGUUGUUCAAAAGCCGCACGCGCUUCGACGCGCCGCCCGGCCUGUUCGAGUGCCUGCGCGCG